UCGCUCCCUUCCCCGCCGCCCAACCCCUCCCUCGAUGAGGUCCUCAACUAUCCCCCACCCCGGAAGGCUCCGGGCGAGGCUCCGGGCGAGGCUCUGGGCGAGGCGCAGCUCCCCCAACGCCACCCAACACCCACCCGCUCCCCCAGCUUCCAGGGACGCCGGGGUGUUGCCCUGCAGCGCGCAACAAACACUUCCGGAAAAGGUCAGAAACCACUAUUAGAACUUUUUCUUACAACUCAACAGCCAAAACAAGAGAAAAAAAACCAAAUAACCGGAUUUUUAAAAUGGGCAAACUGCCUUAAAAGACAUUUCUCAAAAGAAGAUAUACAAAUGGCCAACAGCGCCUGGCAGUGUGCCUGGCAUACAGUGGGUGCUCCUUCCAUGCUGAAAGAAAGACUGACAGACGGGAGGUGUGCCCCUCUCCAUCCGUCUGGCCCUUCCCGCCAGGGCCUUGCAGGGCGGACUCCACCUCGGCAGAGGGCAUCCCA
rnacentral:lncRNA from 10 species